CCUACGGGGGGCAGCAGUGAGGAAUAUUGGUCAAUGGCCGGAAGGCUGAACCAGCCAUGCCGCGUGAAGGUCAGUGCCCUAUGGGCGUUAAACUUCUUUUGUGCGGGAGCAAUAAUGGUCACGUGUGGCCAGACGAGAGUACCGUACGAAUAAGCAUCGGCUAACUCCGUGCCAGCAGCCGCGGUAAUACGGGGGAUGCAAGCGUUAUACGGAUUUAGUGGGUUUAAAGGGUGCGUAGGCGGUUUGAUAAGGUAGAGGUGAAAUACCGGUCCUUAACACCGGAACGGCCUGUAAUACUGUUGAACUAGAGAGUAGUAGCGGUAGGCGGAAUGGAUGGUGAAGCGGUGAAAUGCUUAGAGAUCAUACAGAACACCGAUUGCGAAGGCAGCUUACGAGACUAUAUCUGACGUUGAGGCACGAAAGCGUGGGUAGCAAACAGGAUUAGAUACCCUUGUAGUC
rnacentral:rRNA from 1 species